rnacentral:rRNA from 1 species
UAGGGAAUCUUCGGCAAUGGGGGGAACCCUGACCGAGCAACGCCGCGUGAGUGAAGAAGGUUUUCGGAUCGUAAAGCUCUGUUGUAAGAGAAGAACGGGUGUGAGAGUGGAAAGUUCACACUGUGACGGUAUCUUACCAGAAAGGGACGGCUAACUACGUGCCAGCAGCCGCGGUAAUACGUAGGUCCCGAGCGUUGUCCGGAUUUAUUGGGCGUAAAUCGAGCGCAGGCGGUUAGAUAAGUCUGAAGUUAAAGGCUGUGGCUUAACCAUAGUAUGCUUUGGAAACUGUUUAACUUGAGUGCAGAAGGGGAGAGUGGAAUUCCAUGUGUAGCGGUGAAAUGCGUAGAUAUAUGGAGGAACACCGGUGGCGAAAGCGGCUCUCUGGUCUGUAACUGACGCUGAGGCUCGAAAGCGUGGGGAGCAAACA